rnacentral:rRNA from 1 species
GGGUAGAGCACUGUUUUGGCUAGGGGGACAUGGAGUCUUACCAAACCAAGGCAAACUCCGAAUACCUGGAAGCGUGAGCACGGGAGACAGAGCACCGGGUGCUAACGUCCGGACUCAAAAGGGAAACAACCCAGACCGCCGGCUAAGGUCCCCAAUAACAGCUAAGUGGAAAACGAAGUGGAAAGGCCGUGACAACCAGGAAGUUGGCUUAGAAGCAGCCAUCCUUCAAAGAAAGCGUAAUAGCUCACUGGUCGAGUCCUUCUGCGCGGAAGAUGUAACGGGGCUAAGCUGUUAACCGAAGCCGCGGAUGCACUGAUUAUUCAGUGCGUGGUAGGGGAGCGUUCUGUAAGUCUGCGAAGGCGGUUCGAGAGGACUGCUGGAGAUAUCAGAAGUGCGAAUGCUGACAUGAGUAACGUUAAAGCAGGUGAAAAGCCUGCUCGCCGUAAGCCCAAGGAUUCCUGCUCUACGUUCAUCGGAGCAGGGUGAGUCGGCUCCUAAGGUCAGGCCGAAAGGCGUAGCCGAUGGGAAUCAGGUUAAUAUUCCUGAACCUGCGUCAGAUGCGAUGGGGGGACGGAGCAUGAAAGAUCAUCCGGGUGUUGGAUGUCCCGGUUGACGAGCGUAGGAGGUCUGCAGGCAAAUCCGCAGACGCAUCUCCAAGGCGAAGUCACGUGCCGCCACGGCGGCGAAGUGAUCGGAAGUGCUUCCAAGAAAAGCCUCUAAGCACCAGUCUGACGCGGACCGUACCGCAAACCGACACUGGUGGGCGAGCUGAAUAUGCUCAGGCGCUUGAGAGAACUCGGGAGAAGGAACUCGGCAAAUUGACACCGUAACUUCGGAAGAAGGUGUGCCGUAGUACCGUGAGAGGAGAGACACCUUGAGCGGGAAUCGGUCUCAGAGAAUAGGUGGCUGCGACUGUUUAUUAAAAACACAGCACUCUGCAAAGUCGAAAGACGACGUAUAGGGUGUGAUGCCUGCCCGGUGCUGGAAGAUUAAUUGAUGGGGUGAGAGCCCUUGAUCGAAGUCCCAGUAAACGGCGGCCGUAACUAUAACGGUCCUAAGGUAGCGAAAUUCCUUGUCGGGUAAGUUCCGACCUGCACGAAUGGCAUAACGAUGGCCACACUGUCUCCUCCCGAGACUCAGUGAAGUUGAAAUGUUUGUGAUGAUGCAAUCUACCCGCGGCUAGACGGAAAGACCCCAUGAACCUUUACUGCAGCUUUGCAUUGAACUGUGAACCGAUUUGUGUAGGAUAGGUGGGAGGCAGAGAAGAGGCCACGCCAGUGGUCUUGGAGCCGACCUUGAAAUACCACCCUGAUUUGUUUGCGGUUCUAACCACGGACAGUGAUCCUGUCUUGGGACCGUGCAUGGUAGGCAGUUUGACUGGGGCGGUCUCCUCCUAAAGGGUAACGGAGGAGUACGAAGGUACGCUAGGUACGGUCGGAAAUCGUGCUGAUAGUGCAAUGGCAAAAGCGUGCUUGACUGCGAGAGCAACAACUCGAGCAGAUGCGAAAGCAGGUCAUAGUGAUCCGGUGGCUCUGAAUGGAAGGGCCAUCGCUCAACGGAUAAAAGGUACUCUGGGGAUAACAGGCUGAUACCGCCCAAGAGUUCAUAUCGACGGCGGUGUUUGGCACCUCGAUGUCGGCUCAUCUCAUCCUGGGGCUGUAGUCGGUCCCAAGGGUAUGGCUGUUCGCCAUUUAAAGAGGUACGUGAGCUGGGUUUAAAACGUCGUGAGACAGUUUGGUCCCUAUCUGCCGUGGGCGUUGGAAGAUUGACGGGGGCUGCUCCUAGUACGAGAGGACCGGAGUGGACGCACCUCUGGUGUACCGGUUGUCACGCCAGUGGCAUUGCCGGGUAGCUAAGUGCGGAAGAGAUAACCGCUGAAAGCAUCUAAGCGGGAAACUUGCCUGAAGAUGAGUCUUCCCGGAGGUAAAACCUCCCUCAAGAGUCGUCCGAGACCAGGACGUCGAUAGGUCAGGUGUGUAAGCGCUGUGAGGCGUUGAGCUAACUGAUACUAAUUGCUCGUGAGGCUUGAUC